rnacentral:lncRNA from 1 species
UGAUCAUGUUGUGGUUGGCCAGGUGUGUGUGUUACCUGAGUGAUCAUGUGGUUGGCCAGGUGUGUGUGUGUUACCUGAGUGAUCUUGUUGUGGUUGGCCAGGUGUGUGUGUGUUACCUGAGUGAUCUUGUUGUGGUUGGCCAGAAACAUGGAGAGGUUCUGAGAUUCCUGGAUGGAUGGGUUCUGACAUUUCCUGAGGAACUGGGCAGCUCUACAGGGGGGAGAGGAAGGAAGGAGAGGAGAAGGAGAGGGGGGGGGAGAGGAGAGAGAGGGAGAGGAGAGGGGAGGGGGGAGGAGAAGGAGAGGAGAGGAGAGGAGAAGGAGAGAGAGAGGAGAGGAGAGGAGAGGAGAGGAGAGGAGAGGAGAGGAGAGGAGAGGAGAGAGGGGAAUGUAGGGCAGAGAAGAUUGCCGAAGAGAUCAGAGGGAGGUUAUUCAACC